UACGAAGGGGGCUAGCGUUGCUCGGAAUUACUGGGCGUAAAGGGCGCGUAGGCGGGUCGUUUAGUUAGAGGUGAAAGCCCAGGGCUCAACCCUGGAAUUGCCUUUAAUACUGGCGGCCUUGAGUAUGGCAGAGGUGUGUGGAACUCCGAGUGUAGAGGUGAAAUUCGUAGAUAUUCGGAAGAACACCAGUGGCGAAGGCGACACACUGGGCCAUUACUGACGCUGAGGCGCGAAAGCAUGGGGAGCGAACAGG
rnacentral:rRNA from 1 species